rnacentral:rRNA from 1 species
AGCUCCAAUAGCGUAUAUUAAUGUUGUUGCAGUUAAAAAGCUCGUAGUUGGAUUCCUGGCAUGAGGUAACCGGUCCGCCUUGCAAAAGGUGCGCACUGUGUGAUCUCGGCCAUCCUUGGGAAGAGCGGCUCUGGCAUUCAGUUGUCGGGGUCGGGAUUCCCGACGUUUACUGUGAAAAAAUCAGAGUGUUCAACGCAGGCUUACGCCUUGAAUACAUUAGCAUGGAAUAAUGAGAUAGGACCUUGGCGGUCUAUUUUGUUGGUUUGCACGCCGAGGUAAUGAUUAACAGGGACGGUUGGGGUUCUUCGUAUUCAAUUGUCAGAGGUGAAAUUCUUGGAUUUAUGGAAGACGAACUGCUGCGAAAGCGUCGAACAAGGACGUUCUCA